rnacentral:rRNA from 1 species
GAUGAACGCUAGCUACAGGCUUAACACAUGCAAGUCGAGGGGCAGCAUGGUCUUAGCUUGCUAAGGCCGAUGGCGACCGGCGCACGGGUGAGUAACACGUAUCCAACCUGCCGUCUACUCUUGGACAGCCUUCUGAAAGGAAGAUUAAUACAAGAUGGCAUCAUGAGUCCGCAUGUUCACAUGAUUAAAGGUAUUCCGGUAGACGAUGGGGAUGCGUUCCAUUAGAUAGUAGGCGGGGUAACGGCCCACCUAGUCUUCGAUGGAUAGGGGUUCUGAGAGGAAGGUCCCCCACAUUGGAACUGAGACACGGUCCAAACUCCUACGGGAGGCAGCAGUGAGGAAUAGUGGGCAAUGGGCGCAGGCCUGAACCAGCCAAGUAGCGUGAAGGAUGACUGCCCUAUGGGUUGUAAACUUCUUUUAUAAAGGAAUAAAGUCGGGUAUGGAUACCCGUUUGCAUGUACUUUAUGAAUAAGGAUCGGCUAACUCCGUG